GACGAACGCUGGCGGCGUGCUUAACACAUGCAAGUCGUACGGUAAGGCCCUUUCGGGGGUACACGAGUGGCGAACGGGUGAGUAACACGUGAGUAACCUGCCCACAACUUUGGGAUAACGCUAGGAAACUGGUGCUAAUACUGGAUAUGUGCCCCUGCUGCAUGGUGGGGGUUGGAAAGCUCCGGCGGUUGUGGAUGCACUCGCGGCCUAUCAGCUUGUUGGUGGGGUAGUGGCCUACCAAGGCGGCGACGGGUAGCCGGCCUGAGAGGGUGACCGGCCACAUUGGGACUGAGAUACGGCCCAGACUCCUACGGGAGGCAGCAGUGGGGAAGAUUGCACAAUGGGCGCAAGCCUGAUGCAGCAACGCCGCGUGCGGGAUGACGGCCUUCGGGUUGUAAACCGCUUUCAGCAGGGACGAAGCUUUUUGUGACGGUACCUGCAGAAGAAGCACCGGCUAACUACGUG
rnacentral:rRNA from 1 species